CCACAACUACAACCGCACGAUGGCGAGUUUAAAAGCAUUCGCUACUCGUCUUGGCGAGUCUUAAUUUAAGG
rnacentral:sRNA from 1 species